rnacentral:misc_RNA from 1 species
AGGGCGGAAUGGUUUUCCCGUAUUAACCGCAAGGAUGUGGACCGCUGUGCGAACCAUUACAGAGUCUGCGGGAAGCAUUUCAUUUCAGGUAAGCCCAAAAAGUUCGCAGAUCGCAGUACCACGUUUCUUGGCGACCGCGGUACGCGAUCGUAAACAACUGCCGGCCGGUUGGGCGAUAGCUCGCAGCGACUAAACUACUCGUACUUCACGCAGGUCGUCCAGCAUACCUAAUGGUUGAGUCCAAUCCGGACUGGGCGCCCUCCCUUCAUCUUGGGCACGGGAGAGAAAUGAGCGGCAACGCCUCAUCAUCUCGUGGCUGAAUGCAGGGUUCCCUUCCAGGUACACGAGGAAAAGGCGCCGAGCAGAGCGAUCGGGAAGUCCCCUAAAGCAACUGCAUGAGAAUGCACACGAAGGAAGCAGUGCAGUGCCGGAUUCAUCAGUGACCUCCGAAGACGAUCAACCGCUUUUUGAUGAUGAUCCUGAUAUCCAGGAGACUCCUGAUCAAGAAUGCACUCAUGGAGGGAAGGCUGACUUUUCACAUGUUACUGAAUUGACUAUGGAGCAAAUUGAGCAUCUUGAGAACGAGAAUCGGCACCUGCUCUCAGAGGUCGGGGAAGUGCGAAACAAACUGAACAAGCAAAUGCUCACUGAAGAUUGUCUGAGAGAAAACGAAGACAUGUUGCAGUUUUACACAGGACUGUCAAAUUUUAGUCUUUUGAUGGCCCUUCUUGAAGUGCUGAAAGAAGGAAUGGCACGCACAAACCGAAACAGUCUAACCCUCUUCCAGGAGAUGCUCAUAUUCCUCAUCCGCCUUCGCUUGAAUGUGCCAUUGCAGGACUUGGCAUACAGGUUCAACGUAUCCCAGUCAACUGCGUCUACUGUUGUCAACACGUGGAUUGAUGUGGCCUUUGUCCGCCUCUCCCGUGCUGUGAAGUGGCCAGAAUCUGAAGAGUUGCAGCGAACAAUGCCUAUGGCAUU